rnacentral:rRNA from 1 species
GGGCGAACGGGUUGCAAUAAACUGGUGGCUGCGACUGUUUAAUAAAAACACAGCACUCUGCAAACACGAAAGUGGACGUAUAGGGUGUGACGCCUGCCCGGUGCUGGAAGAUUAAAUGAUGGGGUGCAAGCUCUUGAUUGAAGUCCCAGUAAACGGCGGCCGUAACAAUAACGGUCCUAAGGCAGCG